rnacentral:snRNA from 1 species
GGAUGUCAGGGCAAUCUGGCUGUGACUUCUGUCACCCCAUUGAUCACCAGUGUUAAUUCCACUAAUCUGGCUGACUAGGCAUGUAUCCCCUUUCUCCCUCAUUGCUCCAUGUGUGUCCUUCCUGAAGCUAUCCACUCACUGGAAGAGGAUGACUUACCCCAGAGCAGGAAGACUGGUCCUUAGCUCUAGGGCAUAUGAGUAGCUGCGCUCCCCUGCUUAAACCUCCAAACAAGCUCUUAAUGAGGUCAUUCAGUUAGCAGCUGUAGAUACACGCACAGGGCAUAAAAUUCACCUGCAUUUCCAAGAAACUCUAC